rnacentral:rRNA from 1 species
AGUGAACGCUGGCGGUAGGCCUAACACAUGCAAGUCGAACGGCAGCACAGUAAGAGCUUGCUCUUACGGGUGGCGAGUGGCGGACGGGUGAGGAAUACAUCGGAAUCUACUUUUUCGUGGGGGAUAACGUAGGGAAACUUACGCUAAUACCGCAUACGACCUACGGGUGAAAGCAGGGGAUCUUCGGACCUUGCGCGAUUGAAUGAGCCGAUGUCGGAUUAGCUAGUUGGCGGGGUAAAGGCCCGCCAAGGCGACGAUCCGUAGCUGGUCUGAGAGGAUGACCAGCCCACCUGGAACUGAGACACGGUCCAGCUCCCUACGGGAGGCAGCAGUGGGAAAUAUUGGACAAUGGGCGCAAGCUUGAUCCAGCCAUACCGCGUGGGUGAAGAAGGCCUUCGGGUUGUAAAGCCCUUUUGUUGGGAAAGAAAAGCAGCAGGUUAAUACCCCGCUGUUCUGACGGUACCAAAAGAAUAAGCACCGGCUAACUUCGU